UUGACGUCUUGAAUGCUUUACACAUGUUGAGGUUUUACUUUGAAGAUUUGGGUUUGGGUGGCCCAAGAUUUCUACGAUGUUGUUGAUAACGACCAACAUCGGUACGGGAGGAUUUAGUGCUUAUCUCUUCCGAUAAUUGUUCACUCCAGUUAUGAAGUUUCCAUAUUUAGAGGGCUGACUCAUGGUGCUGGAUGCCACUUUUGUUUAUAUCAUUUGCCUCAUCGUCAUUUACGAAGUUAGAUGUGUUAGCUAUCACCACCGA